rnacentral:lncRNA from 1 species
AGUUAAUAAACAGAUCACUGACCAUUUCAAAUCCCACCGUACAUUCUCUGCUGUGCAAUCCAGUUUCCGAGCUGGUCACAGGUGCACCACAGCCACGCUCAAGGUACUAAACAAUAUCAUAACCACCAUCGAUAAAAUACAGUACUGUGCAGCCGUCUUCAUCGACCUGGCCAAGGCUUUCGACUCUGUCAAUAACCACAUUCUUAUCGGCAGACUCAAUAGCCUUGGUUUUUCAAAUGACUGCCUUGCGUGGUUCACCAACUACUUCACAGACAAGAGUUCAGCGUGUCAAAUCGGAGUGCCUGUUGUCCGGACCUCUGGCAGUCUCUAUGGGGGUACCACAGGGUUCAAUUCUCGGGCUGACUCUUUUCUCUGUAUAUAUCGGUCUGGCUGCAGGUGAUUCCCUGAUCCACCUCUACGCAGACGACACCAUUCUGUAUACAUCUGGCCCUUCUUUGGACACUGUGUUAACUAACCUCCAAACGAGCUUCAAUGCCAUACAACACUCCUUCCGUGGCCUCCAACUGCUCUUAAACUCUAGUAAAACCAAAUGCAUGCUUUUCAACCGUUCGCUACCCUCACCCGCCCGCCCGACUAGCAUCACUACCCUGGACGGUUCUGACCUAGAAUAUGUUGGCAACUACAAAUACCUAGAUGUCUGGCUAGACUGUAAACUCUCCUUCCAGACUCAUAUCAAACAUCUCCAAUCCAAAAUCAAAUCUAAAAUUGGCUUUCUUUUUCGCAGCAAAGCCUCCUUCACUCACGCCACCAAACUUACCCUAGUAAAACUGACUAUCCUACCGAUCCUCUACUUCCGCGACGUGAUCUACAAAAUAGCUUCCAAUACUCUACUCUGCAAACUGGAUGUAGUCUAUCACAGUGCCAUCUGUUUUGUUACCAAAGCGCCUUAUACCACCCACCACUGCGACCUGUAUGCUCUAGUCGGCUGGCUCUCUCUACAUAUUCGUGGCAAGACCACUGGCUCCAGGUCAUCUAUAAGUCUAUGCUAGGUAAAGCUCCGCCUUAUCUCAGUUCACUGGUCACGAUAACAACACCCCCCCGUAGCACACGUUCCAGCAGGUAUAUCUCACUGAUCAUCCCCAAAGCCAUCA